rnacentral:rRNA from 1 species
CCUACGGGAGGCAGCAGUGGGGAAUUUUGGACAAUGGGCGCAAGCCUGAUCCAGCAAUGCCGCGUGAGUGAAGAAGGCCUUCGGGUUGUAAAGCUCUUUUGUCAGGGAAGAAACGGUGGGAGCUAAUAUCUCCUACUAAUGACGGUACCUGAAGAAUAAGCACCGGCUAACUACGUGCCAGCAGCCGCGGUAAUACGUAGGGUGCAAGCGUUAAUCGGAAUUACUGGGCGUAAAGCGUGCGCAGGCGGUUUUGUAAGUCUGUCGUGAAAGCCCCGGGCUCAACCUGGGAAUUGCGAUGGAGACUGCAAGGCUUGAAUCUGGCAGAGGGGGGUAGAAUUCCACGUGUAGCAGUGAAAUGCGUAGAGAUGUGGAGGAACACCGAUGGCGAAGGCAGCCCCCUGGGUCAAGAUUGACGCUCAUGCACGAAAGCGUGGGGAGCAAACAGGAUUAGAUACCCUGGUAGUCCACGCCCUAAACGAUGUCUACUAGUUGUCGGGUUUUAAUAACUUGGUAACGCAGCUAACGCGUGAAGUAGACCGCCUGGGGAGUACGGUCGCAAGNUUAAAACUUNAAAUUGAAUUGACCGG